rnacentral:rRNA from 1 species
GAUGAACGCUGGCGGCGUGCCUAAUACAUGCAAGUCGAGCGAACAGACGAGGAGCUUGCUCCUCUGACGUUAGCGGCGGACGGGUGAGUAACACGUGGAUAACCUACCUAUAAGACUGGGAUAACUUCGGGAAACCGGAGCUAAUACCGGAUAAUAUAUUGAACCGCAUGGUUCAAUAGUGAAAGACGGUUUUGCUGUCACUUAUAGAUGGAUCCGCGCCACAUUAGCUAGUUGGUAAGGUAACGGCUUACCAAGGCAACGAUGCGUAGCCGACCUGAGAGGGUGAUCGGCCACACUGGAACUGAGACACGGUCCAGACUCCUACGGGAGGCAGCAGUAGGGAAUCUUCCGCAAUGGGCGAAAGCCUGACGGAGCAACGCCGCGUGAGUGAUGAAGGUCUUCGGACCGUAAAACUCUGUUAUUAGGGAAGAACAAAUGUGUAAGUAACUAUGCACGUCUUGACGGUACCUAAUCAGAAAGCCACGGCUAACUACGUG